UUCGAGCCCCAAAACGUGAAAUUAUUGAAACUAUGUUUUUCUAUAAAUAGAAGCUCAUUCUUCUUCAUUUCUCACUAAUUCACCAAAGCUUUAGAGCCAUUAUUAUAGAGAGAAAUUAUAGAGAGAAGCUAUAGAAAGAAAAUCUAUAGAGAGAAAUAAGAAGAGAAGUCUGCUUCCUUUCUAUUCCAAUAUCAAGUUUCUUCUAAGGUAAGGGG
rnacentral:lncRNA from 1 species